AAUAUUGGACAAUGGGCGAAAGCCUGAUCCAGCCAUGCCCCGUGUGUGAAGAAGGUCUUCGGAUUGUAAAGUUUUUUAUGUUGGGAGGUAGGGCAGUUAGGUAAUACCUUGCUGUCUUGGCGUUACCUACAGAAUGAGCAACUGCUAAGUUGGGUCCAGCAGUCGCGGUAAUAGGAAGGGUGAAAGCGUUAAUCGUAAUUACUGGGCGUAAAGCGCGCGUAGGUGGUUUGUUAAGUUGGAAGUGAAAGCCCCGGGCUGAACCUGGGAACUGCUUUCAAAACUGGCAAGCUAGAGUAUAGCAGAGGGUGGUGGAAUUUCCUGUGUAGCGGUGAAAUGCGUAGAUAUAGGAAGGAACACCAGUGGCGAAGGCGACCACCUGGGCUAAUACUGACACUGAGGUGAGAAAGCGUGGGGAGCAAACAGG
rnacentral:rRNA from 1 species